UUUAAUUUGGAAUCAAGCCAAAUGUUAUUUUUAAUAGUUCCUUUAUCUGUAGUGAAAACGUUCAAAGUUCAAUGGUGAAUCUUUUGGGUAAGAUGCUUAUUUCCAGCCGUGAACCAAAUUUCUUUGUUAAGGAUAGCUCGUGGAUGGGAUUUCAAUAAAGAAGCAAAAGGGAUGUAGCAGACUGGCAUUGGCUGGCUAGGGUCUACAUUGUGAUUGCCACCUGUACAAGAGCAUAAGGUUUCUAAAACCAGAAAGAGUUUUAUCAGAGAGAGAGGCGACCACACUAUGGCUUGGAAAACGGGUAGGGAGUCGAUGAUCAGCAUCAACUUCCCAACAAGCCUUCACCUACAACCCCUCCAGAGAACGACAUCAGAAUCGUGUCUACACUCCAGGGAAGGUCUUGAAAAC